rnacentral:rRNA from 1 species
AGUGAACGCUGGCGGUAGGCCUAACACAUGCAAGUCGAACGGCAGCACAGUAAGAGCUUGCUCUUACGGGUGGCGAGUGGCGGACGGGUGAGGAAUACAUCGGAAUCUACUUUUUCGUGGGGGAUAACGUAGGGAAACUUACGCUAAUACCGCAUACGACCUAUGGGUGAAAGAAGGGGAUCUUCGGACCUUGCGCGAUUGAAUGAGCCGAUGUCGGAUUAGCUAGUUGGCGGGGUAAAGGCCCACCAAGGCGACGAUCCGUAGCUGGUCUGAGAGGAUGAUCAGCCACACUGGAACUGAGACACGGUCCAGACUCCUACGGGAGGCAGCAGUGGGGAAUAUUGGACAAUGGGCGCAAGCCUGAUCCAGCCAUACCGCGUGGGUGAAGAAGGCCUUCGGGUUGUAAAGCCCUUUUGUUGGGAAAGAAAAGCAGCAGGUUAAUACCCCGCUGUUCUGACGGUACCCAAAGAAUAAGCACCGGCUAACUUCGUG